CUAUCGGCGGUGGUGCCCUUCUCUAAGCGUGGUAAACUUUAUUCGCUUGUGAGUUGGGGCUUCACCCGCCGGACAAACCGGGCUCCGCGCCCAUUUUCUCAGGUUGACCUCGGAUCAGGUAGGGAUACCCGCUGAACUUAAGCAUAUCAAUAAGCGGAGGAA
rnacentral:rRNA from 1 species